UACGUAAGGUGCGAGCGUUGUCCGGAAUUAUUGGGCGUAAAGGGCUCGUAGGCGGUUUGUCGCGUCGGGAGUGAAAACUCAGGGCUUAACCCUGAGCCUGCUUCCGAUACGGGCAGACUAGAGGUAUGCAGGGGAGAACGGAAUUCCUGGUGUAGCGGUGAAAUGCGCAGAUAUCAGGAGGAACACCGGUGGCGAAGGCGGUUCUCUGGGCAUUACCUGACGCUGAGGAGCGAAAGUGUGGGGAGCGAACAGG
rnacentral:rRNA from 1 species